AGUCAUCAAACCGCUCCCGUUUGAAAGCGGGGGGCCGGGUUUGGAUCUGGGGGUGUGCCGCUGCGAAGCGGCUCCCUUCAAAUGCAUCGGUUGGACCUGUGGGUCGAACUCGACUGGGCGUUGUAACAUCCUCGCUCUACCGAGAGGUUCCCCUUUGGUGUCCUCCCACGACUCGCCUGUGGAGUGGCGGUCAAUUUGCUUUGAA
rnacentral:misc_RNA from 1 species